rnacentral:rRNA from 1 species
ACGAUGAAGCCCUUCGGGGUGGAUUAGUGGCGAACGGGUGAGUAACACGUGGGCAAUCUGCCCUUCACUCUGGGACAAGCCCUGGAAACGGGGUCUAAUACCGGAUAACACUUCCGUCCUCCUGGACGGUGGUUAAAAGCUCCGGCGGUGAAGGAUGAGCCCGCGGCCUAUCAGCUUGUUGGUGAGGUAAUGGCUCACCAAGGCGACGACGGGUAGCCGGCCUGAGAGGGCGACCGGCCACACUGGGACUGAGACACGGCCCAGACUCCUACGGGAGGCAGCAGUGGGGAAUAUUGCACAAUGGGCGAAAGCCUGAUGCAGCGACGCCGCGUGAGGGAUGACGGCCUUCGGGUUGUAAACCUCUUUCAGCAGGGAAGAAGCGAAAGUGACGGUACCUGCAGAAGAAGCGCCGGCUAACUACGUGCCAGCAGCCGCGGUAAUACGUAGGGCGCAAGCGUUGUCCGGAAUUAUUGGGCGUAAAGAGCUCGUAGGCGGCUUGUCACGUCGGUUGUGAAAGCCCGGGGCUUAACCCCGGGUCUGCAGUCGAUACGGGCAGGCUAGAGUGUGGUAGGGGAGAUCGGAAUUCCUGGUGUAGCGGUGAAAUGCGCAGAUAUCAGGAGGAACACCGGUGGCGAAGGCGGAUCUCUGGGCCAUUACUGACGCUGAGGAGCGAAAGCGUGGGGAGCGAACAGGAUUAGAUACCCUGGUAGUCCACGCCGUAAACGGUGGGAACUAGGUGUUGGCGACAUUCCACGUCGUCGGUGCCGCAGCUAACGCAUUAAGUUCCCCGCCUGGGGAGUACGGCCGCAAGGCUAAAACUCAAAGGAAUUGACGGGGGC